GAUGAACGCUGGCGGCGUGCCUAAUACAUGCAAGUCGAGCGAACGGACGAGAAGCUUGCUUUUCUGAUGUUAGCGGCGGACGGGUGAGUAACACGUGGAUAACCUACCUAUAAGACUGGGAUAACUUCGGGAAACCGGAGCUAAUACCGGAUAAUAUUUUGAACCGCAUGGUUCAAAAGUGAAAGACGGUCUUGCUGUCACUUAUAGAUGGAUCCGCGCUGCAUUAGCUAGUUGGUAAGGUAACGGCUUACCAAGGCAACGAUGCAUAGCCGACCUGAGAGGCUGAUCGGCCACACUGGAACUGAGACACGGUCCAGACUCCUACAGGAGGCAGCAGUAGAGAAUCUUCCGCCAUGAGCGAAAGCCUGACGGAGCAACGCCGCGUGAGUGAUGAAGGUCUUCGGAUCGUAAAACUCUGUUAUUAGGAAAGAACAUAUGUGUAAGGAACUAUGCACAUCUUGACGGUACCUAAUCAGAAAGCCACGGCUAACUCCGUG
rnacentral:rRNA from 1 species